AAUUGUAAUGAUAUUAUUUAUUGGGCAUUUUGUGCCAUACAUGGUGAUGAGCAGUUUGCAUAUAUUUAUUUAUGAUCUUCUUAAAACCAUUCCAUGAAAUAGGAACUGUAAUUAUCCCCAAUUCUAAAAGAAAAAACUUAGUUUUAGAGAGUUAGUAAUCUUUGCCUAAGGGUCACAAAGCACCUAUGUGUAGAAGCUAGGGUUCAAGGCAGAUCUGUGAUUCCAGAAGCUGUUCUCUAAACCACUAUGGAGAACUGCUUAGAUUCAUUGUCUAUGGGUACAUUUUAUAAAAAGGCAGAUUCUAGUUCAGUGUCAUAAGGAACUUUCUAGUAAUUAGAGCUGAUAAGAAAAGAAUUCCCCAGGAGAAAAUGGAAACACUAUCCCAGCAAUCUGAAUUCCUUACUUGGGGAAUGUUGCUGAGGAGGUUCAGUGUGUGAAUGGACUGAACCAGUUGGCCACUCUCUCAGAUUCCCUCUUCAUAAAGCUUCCGUGACUUCUAAACCAUCAGGUCGGUGCCAUAAGAGAUGCUCAAAAAAGCAUGGUCAGGGCUUAGCAAGAAUCCUUUUCCAGUGCAAAUACGACCCUCAUAUUAUGUUUUGGCGAGUAGCCAGUCUUUCUUUAACAUCAAUCAACCGUAGCAAUGUGGUCAUCACGAAGUCUUCAUUGACUCACUGGCUUGGAUUUUAGGGUUAGAAAAUCUGAAUGUUCUUAUGUCCUUCCGUCUCACUUUACUAGAGUGCCCAAGUUGACUCAUCCUUACUCACUCAUUCCCUCAAAAUAUUUAUUGAGCACCAACAAUGUCACAAGCACUGUGCUAAACACUGUGGUGAAGUAGAACAAUUGCUAAUCAUUUCCUGGGUUCCACUUACUCUUGAUUUAAAAAAAAAAAAACAACAAAAGAGUUUGUGUGUGGCCAGGACUAAACAGCUGCUUCUUAAUUUUUGAAUUUUAAAACUAAUCUAUUUUAUUUAAAAAAAAUCAAGUACUUUGGAAGUGAAUAAAGUAAGAGAUAGCCUGUCUCACUUUCCAGAGGUAGCAGUCACUAAUACUGUGGUGAGUGAUUUUACUCAAAGGAAAUCACACUAUUAAGCAGCUUGGUUUUGACAUGUUAUGUUGUGGUCAUCUUUUCAUGUCAAUACAUAGAUUAAUCUUUUAUUUCAAAUGUCUACAUAAAAUAUCACUACCCACAUAACCUAUAAUUUGUGUGGCCAGCAAUUUAUUGAACACUAAAAUGUUUUAAGUUUUCUUAUUGCUAACAAUGUCACAGUGAACAUUUAUAUAUUCAUUAAAUCCUUUUCCUCAUGUAUCUUUGCACUCUUGUGCUAGUAUGUCUAUAGUGUGAAUACAUUCAUAAAUUUCUUGAUCAAAGCUAGGUCAAAGUUACAUUCAUUUUAAUUUUGGUACAUAUCCAUAAAUUCUCCAUAAAAGUAGGACCAACUUACAUUACCACCAAUAGUGUAUGUGAGCCUUAUUUUUAUGUAUGAUAGGACUUUUUUUAGUCCAAAUGUUCCUAUAGAUUUUCUGGGUUUUUUUUUUUUUUUUGUCCUUGGAAGAAUAACCUUCCUUCCACCAAGUCCAAGAACCUGAGAUUUUUAAUCAUUAGGUUUUAGAUUUCCUUUAGCAGCAGAGACUGACUUGCUGUAUAGAGGGAAGUCAAGUAGUGACUAACUCACUAUAUGUCAAACACAUCAUUACUCUUCUCUUUUCCUACUUUACAUGUAAUGGUUGCGAGGACCAACUUUCAAAUGAGCUAACUUGGGUGAGACGUUCACUAAAGUACCAAGCACAAUACAAAUGCAUCUUCGAGUUCUUUGGGCCUCACUUUCCCUAUCUGAAUAAUAAGGAUAGUAAUCCCUUGCCUUUUCUCAAACCAGUUCAACUCAGCAAACACUUCCUGAGCACCUGCUACAUGCCAGGCAAAAUGUGAAAUUUGCAUGCUAUGAGGCUAAAUGGUACUGAUUCUCAAAACAAGGAGCUCAUAGUCUAAAACCAUUUUUCUUUCUUUUUUUUCCCCCUAAACAACCUCUUAAAGGGGUAAGAAGUUAGGGGGUUGUUUAUUAAGAACCCCUGAAGAGCAACCCUUUACCACUCUCUUAAAUUUGAAAAAUUCCAAAAUAAUAUUAACACCUCUUGACUAGAAAAGGAAAAAAAAGGAACAUGCCGUAUGAAGAGCCUCUCCAAUAAUAAAUGCAAAGCAGCUGUCAAAAUAUAGAGUCAAGUGAUACUUUCAUAAAGUGUUUGCACAAUUAGAAAAUGUUAUCCUUUUUCUCGGGAGAAAUGGGACAUUUUUAUUUUCUCUGCUAAGUGAAAUGCAACUUUUUGAAGAAUCAACACGCUUGACAUUUUUACAAUGUACAUAAAGAACUGAACUAUUAUUAAAACAACUUACACACUCCAUUGCUUAUAACUUUUGAGAGAAUGAAAAGAACCUUAAACAGAAUGUGCCUGUGGAGCUUCGCUUUAGAAAUGAAAUACCCAAGGUGUUUUAACUACAACUGUCUACAUGUAAUAGUGUGUCUGCAUAAUGACUUUGUAAAUAUUAACUGCAAUUCUGUAUUUGCUUUCUUGAUAUGACUUUUAACAUUUAAACUUAUACUGUUUCUG
rnacentral:lncRNA from 1 species